rnacentral:rRNA from 1 species
UAAGCGUGCGCAGGCGGUUAUGUAAGACAGAUGUGAAAUCCCCGGGCUCAACCUGGGAACUGCAUUAGUGACUGCAUAGCUGGAGUACGGCAGAGGGGGAUGGAAUUCCGCGUGUAGCAGUGAAAUGCGUAGAUAUGCGGAGGAACACCGAUGGCGAAGGCAAUCCCCUGGGCCUGUACUGACGCUCAUGCACGAAAGCGUGGGGAGCAAACAGGAUUAGAUACCCUUGU